rnacentral:rRNA from 1 species
UACGUAGGGGGCUAGCGUUGUCCGGAAUCAUUGGGCGUAAAGAGCGCGUAGGCGGCCAGAUAAGUCCGGUGUGAAAGUCAAAGGCUCAACCUUUGAAUGCCGCUGGAAACUGUCUGACUAGAGUCCGGGAGGGGCGAGUGGAAUUCCUGGUGUAGCGGUGAAAUGCGCAGAUAUCAGGAGGAACACCAAUGGCGAAGGCAGCUCGCUGGAACGGUACUGACGCUGAGGCGCGAAAGCGUGGGGAGCAAACAGG